rnacentral:rRNA from 1 species
GAUGAACGCUAGCGGCAGGCUUAAUACAUGCAAGUCGAGGGGUAGCAAGAUUGUAGCAAUACAAUUGUUGACGACCGGCAAACGGGUGCGGAACACGUACACAACCUUCCUACAAGUGGGGAAUAGCCCAGAGAAAUUUGGAUUAAUACCCCGUAACAUAGCGAUGUGGCAUCACAUUGCUAUUAUAGCUUCGGCGCUUGUUGAUGGGUGUGCGGCUGAUUAGAUAGUUGGCGGGGUAACGGCCCACCAAGUCUACGAUCAGUAGCUGAUGUGAGAGAAUGAUAAGCCACACGGGCACUGGGACACGGGCCCUACUCCUACGGGAGGCAGCAGUAAGGAAUAUUGGACAAUGGACGCAAGUCUGAUCCAGCCAUGCCGCGUGAAGGAUUAAGGUCCUCUGGAUUGUAAACUUCUUUUAUAAGGGACGAAAAAAGGUCUUUCUAGAUCGUCUGACGGUACCUUAUGAAUAAGCACCGGCUAACUCCGUGCCAGCAGCCGCCGUAACAC